rnacentral:rRNA from 1 species
ACGGAGGGUGCGAGCGUUGUCCGGAAUCACUGGGCGUAAAGGGCGCGUAGGCGGCCUGAUAAGUAGGGGGUGAAAUCCUGCGGCUUAACCGCAGGGCUGCCUUCUAAACUGUCAGGCUUGAGCACAGUAGAGGCAGGUGGAAUUCCCGGUGUAGCGGUGGAAUGCGUAGAGAUCGGGAAGAACAUCAGUGGCGAAGGCGGCCUGCUGGGCUGUUGCUGACGCUGAGGCGCGACAGCGUGGGGAGCAAACAGGA